GUGACAUUCUGUGGAGGAAGCCCAAGGGGCCAGGCAUCAGCAUCCCCACUCUGCAGCCCCAGGUCUAGUCUUAUCUGGAACUCAGGAGCCUUCCUCUCUAGGCUUCACAGGCAGAUUAUCUCAAGAUGAAGAGAAAAACAUUUUCCUUUGCAUGCUGGCUUUUGUUUCACCUUCUUCUACUUUUAGGAACAGAGAAGCUCUCUGAGCCUAAGAAACCUCUUCAACACUGAUCUCUACCACCUCCAUGGCUCCAACCUUGGUCUACACCUCACAGCUAAUUAUGGAGUCCACAACAGGUCUCUGAUUGAGUCCAGAGGAGACUAUUCUCCCCUGCAGUCAUGGAGUCGACUGUGAGGCACAAGUGGCCUUGAGUAGCCCUGAAGACAGAAGCAUCACCUCAGGGGGAGGGAGGGAGCUGACCUGGAUGACUGGGGGCCUGAGUGUCCCCCAUCAGCCCCCAGGCUGCUCCUCCCAGCUCUUACCAUCCUCCCUUCCCCUGGUUUUUCCAGACCAUAAAAAGGAGGCUGUAGCUGUGACUGAAUUAUUAAAUAAAUGUGUCUAAUACAUGUGGG